UACGUAGGGGGCUAGCGUUGUCCGGAAUCAUUGGGCGUAAAGCGCGCGUAGGCGGCCCGGUAAGUCCGCUGUGAAAGUCAAAGGCUCAACCUUUGAAUGUCAGCGGAUACUGCCGGGCUAGAGUCCGGAAGAGGCGAGUGGAAUUCCUGGUGUAGCGGUGAAAUGCGUAGAGAUGUGGAGGAACACCGAUGGCGAAGGCAGCCCCCUGGGUCAAGAUUGACGCUCAUGCACGAAAGCGUGGGGAGCAAACAAGG
rnacentral:rRNA from 1 species